CACUUGACCGGACGGCCAUACUUUUUUCAAUUUCUUUUAUCUGAAUUGGAUGACAUUGCGAAAAGGUUCACAAAUGCAGCAAACACACUAAACCAGGUUGGUUUAUUUAUUUAAUUGUCUAUUUUAGAAAACCAUGCAGAGACACUCAGUAGAAAAGGGAAGCAUGGAAGCAACCAUGGCAACCUCACAUACGCUCAUUCGAAACGCAAGCUCUUGAUUAUUAUAGUUCUCACACCAGCAGGUAUACGAACUCAAACCCGAACUAACCACUUCAAGCAUAGGCACCAGGGUUGGCCAGGAGGUAGGCCUCUGCAGCCUUGAUAGUCCCGAUCACUGCUUCCUUUCCCUUGGCAAUCUCAUCCUUGUUGUCAACUCCUGGUAAUGGCUUAUAGGUUGUCACCACCUUGCACACGCACCCUCCCUUGCUGGAUUUCUCGAACUUGAAAUGGGUUGAGGCCGACUCGAUCUUCUUCCCGAGAUCGCCGCCUUCGACAAGGCUGUGCUUGCACUCAAACUUGUCGAAGUCCACAAAGUCCAGGCGCUCCUUUACAUAGCUAAAUGGCAUGGCUACAAAUAUGGGAACCACAAGGUUAGCACCAGCUCUAAGUCCAUAAAAAUUAGAUAUAUAUAAGGAUUUGUUUGAAUGAUUGGGCUGAAAAAAUUUUAUUAGAUUCGUGGAUUAAGUCAGUACAAUCAGCAAAAUUAUAGGAUUACAAGCUGAUCUAGACAUAUACUUAGAAAUAGCUUUGGAGUGGGCAGGUUAGAUUUCCAUAUCAAGAAAAAAAGAUUUUAGCCUGUAAACAUAUGAAUAUAGGCUUGGUCCGGCUUGUAAUCUUAUGAUUUUGCUUGCUGUAUUGGUUCAAUCCAUGAAUCCAAAAGGAUUUUUAGCCCAAUCACCAAAACAGAACUUAAGACUAGAAAAUUUCAAAGUGUGAGCCAUAAUACCUGAGGUGAAGUUGAUCUGUCUGACACUCCCAACACUACCAUCACCAUGGACACCAGCGGCACUUGCGACGAUGUCAGGCAAGAGCUUAGCGGCCAGGUUGUGCCAGUCGAGGACCGCCUUGAACAACCUUGGAGCGGGCGCUUGGGACUCGACCUCGAGGUUCCAACAUGGGGGACUCAUGGUUAAAUUGGAUUCUUUAUUGGGCUUCACUUCUUUCUGCUAAGUUGUGGUGAGCGAAAUCCAGAUGGAGAAUGGCGAGCAAAGGAUGGGGGUUUUAUAGAGGGUUUGUGUGGAAUGGUAGGUAUGGAACGAAGAAGCAUGCGUGCUGGUUUUUUCAAAUUUGGGCAGCGCCUUUGCUAAACUGCUGACUAAUAAAAAUAGAGGAAAGAAUGCGGGGGAGAGGUAGCUAGGUGCUCACGUCGAGGUGAGACUUUUUUUUUUUUGGUGAGACUUGGGGAACGUUUUUUUUUCCAUUGGCGGAUCCCAGCUAAAACGAUCAUGAGCGCUCUAACUGUUGAUAUAUGCCCUGCUUCGCAGUUUAUGAUUUCAAAUUUUAAUAUUAAAAGAAUAUAUGAAAAACUAACAUUUUUAGUGUUCGUCUAAUAAAAAUAUCAUUUUUUAGGUGAGACAGACUUAAUUAUUUGGAGAUUAUUUAGAUUAUAAUAAAUUGUUAUAUUGCCCAAUAACCCAUCUGUUAUCUUUUUCUACGUUAUAUUGCUAUAAUAACAGAGUAAAGUAGGGGCCAAAAAGCAUUAUAAAUUUAUAAUAACCAUUCUUCUUUUUUUAUAAUAACCAAUACGCGAGCCGUGGUCAUAAUGAGCAUGUGGCAACCCAUGUCUAUAAUAACAUUUCUCAAACCCAUUUACUAAGUGAAUUGAGUUCAAAUUUAGACUUUGACACCUUUAACUUAUUUUGUUCUAUUUAAUAAUUAGAUCAAAUAUAACUUGACAUAUUUAAUUUAUUUAAUCUAUUUAAUCUGAUCUGCUUAACUUGUUUUUAUUAUAUUUAACUCGAUAUGGAAGUCUAUCUAAAUUUAAUUAAUUUAUUAAAAAUUUAUUUCACUUGUUUAAUAGAUGAGUUAUAUGGAUCAGGUCGGAUUAUCUAUUUAAUAAAUAUAUCAAAUUUAGAUUGAUGGUUUUUUUGACUCAAUUCGUAUUCAAUCUGAUCUAUAUUCGAUCUGAUCCAAUUGUGACCUGUACUCUGCUCAGACAAGGACUUUUUAUCUAUAUAAAAAUUUAGUUUGGGUAUGUGGCCAGAGCUCUAGCUGGGCAUCUUGGCCUGCAAGAGGAUGCGUUUAGCCCAGCCCAAAACGAAGAGGCUUGCUUUCUUUCUUCCGGUAGUUGGUGAGGGGAACAGCAUACGCGGAUCUGGGUCCCCGUGCGGGCCCAUGGUAUUUCCGUGCUUGAGAUGACGAAAAUGGCCCUGAGAAGGGUAUACUAGGAAGGAAACUAAGAUUUCGCGGCUGAUUUUUUUUUUUUUUUGAUUUUUUGGUGGAUAAAAAUGCGAAGAAGCGGGAUAGCUUGGAGGACCUGCAGAAGAUACUGGCAGAUAUAGUGAACGGAGAUGGCCGGACCGCCGGGUUUGCGAGGAAAGAUCCGAGUUGGCAUGGGCUUUGACCCACUUGGGAGCCUGGUCGACUCAGUGGAGGAGCUGGGGACAACUGGGUCGGCUGGGUUGCAGGCCAGCCCAGAGAUCCAAAUAGUUGAUGCGGGCUCGAGCCAAUCAAACAAAAGGCCCAGGAGCCCAGCGCCACACCCUGCGUUGGGUCUAGGGCUGGAAGUGGGCCGGGCCGGGCCGGGCCAUACUCCUACCCGAGCCCGGCCCGNNNNNNNNNNNNNNNNNNNNNNNNNNNNNNNNNNNNNNNNNNNNNNNNNNNNNNNNNNNNNNNNNNNNNNNNNNNNNNNNNNNNNAGCCUGAUCACGAGCCCGGCCAGAGAUGUUCGCGUCCGGAGCAAGCUCCCGAAGCCACAAAUCUCUGUGCACCAACAUGAAGGCGUGGAUGCGAUCUGAUCAUUCCCAUGUAGGCCGGACUGCGCCCUCACCUCUCGGCAGAGGAGCCGAGCUCCAGCUCAUGCUCGGUGUCAUCGGCGCCGGCGCGCCUCUCGUCUUGUUCCCCAUCUAAACCCAUAAAUUCGCCCUCAGUCACCACCUCAAGGAGGAUCCGAUGGUAGGUCUUCUUCCUUUACUUAAAGGCAUAAAGCCGCUGUUCUAAUUUUUAUCUACUUCCAGCAACUCAAAUGGUAAAGAGGGGCAAUCCCUGACUCCCAUUCACAUAAAAAAAAAAGAAAAAAACUUUAUUUCUUAUUCUUCUUCUCUCUCUUUUUCUUGUUUUCCCCCCCGAAUAAAUGGCAGGAAGCAUCAAUGGCAGAAUACAUAAUACAACAAUACAUCGCGACGUCAGGCGGCGAGCAAGCAUUAAACUCGGUGAGUAGUAUGUACACCAUGGGGAAGGUAAGGAUGACGGCGACGGAAUUCCGAGCAGGCAAUGGCAAUAACGCCAGCCAUGCCAACAAGAAGGCGAGCAAGGGUGGUGGUGGAGGGGAGAUGGGAGGGUUCGUGCUGUGGCAGAAGAAGCCGGACUUGUGGUGUCUUGAACUGGUGGUGGCCGGUUGCAAGAUCAGCGCUGGGAGUGACGGCAAGGUGGCAUGGAGGCAGACAGCAUGGCUUCGCCUCUGUGCCUCUGCAAAUCCCUCGGGCAAGUUGGCAACUGGGUUUAGCCGCGAUUCGGCAGACUGCAGACACAACUGGGUUUAGCCACGAUACGGGCUGGAAGUGGGCUCGGGCUUGGACGGGCCCGAGCUGGGCCAAUGAAAUACCCGAGCCCGGCCCGAAAUAGAAAUGGGCUUAAUCAUUCAGCCCGAGCCCGGCCCGAAAUGCAUUGAGCCUAGCCCAUAGCCCGGCCCGCGGGCGGCCCGACCCGAUGGGCUUCGGGCCGGCCCGAGCCCACUUCCAGCCCUAGUUGGUCGGGCUGCAGGAGGGCGGCUCGAGAGCGCGAGCAGGGCCUCUCCAGAGAAAGGUUCAGGCGUGGCCUGUGGGCUCGAGGCGGGCCCAUCAAGAGCCUUGAAGCGGGCCGGCCUGGGGCUGACCUGGGCAUGUUGCCCAUGUCGGGCACAACGGGGCCCAGGAGUGAUGGAGCUGCUAGCUCCGGCCACAACGAAGGCGGCCCAAGCGGGACAUGAUCUCCCCCAAGCCAUGCCGGAGAGCGACCUAGAGGGGAGGUCGGACGUGGGAGGGUCGGUGCCGCCCAGGAGCGGGGUUGAAGUGGCUCGGGCGGACCGAAUGAUCCAGGGGGCGGUGGUGGAAGAGGUGGGCUGCGACGGCGGUGGCGAUUGGGCUGCUGGCAGGGUGGUGGCGGUUGUGGAUCACCCCACUGUUGUGCAACAUGUGAAGGUUGCAGCGAUGAGGGUGGUCUCGGGCAUGAGCGAGGAAGGUGAGCAGCGAAUUGAACAGGCCCACAGUGGAUUGGAGGACCUUGAGACUUUGGGGGGGUACACGUCAGGGCCCACUUAUCAAGGUAGUGCGUUAUGAAGAUUCUAGUAUCGAACUGAGGGGGGCGGCCAAGCCUUCCUUCAUGACUUCAUUUAGGAGAUCAAAUCAGGUGAAUGACUCGGAGAUCUGCUUUCUAUGUGAGACGUGAUUAUUUGGAGAUGGUCUCUGUCGAGUGCAGCAUCGCCUGGCAGCUGAUCCUAGGGACUAUUUUGGGGCAUCUUGGGGUUGUGGAAGAGGGGGAUAGCCACUAUGGAUGUUUUCCAUAACUACUUACAGCAGGUUGUAAUAGUUAUUUCAGAACCUAAUGAAGCUCCGUGGGUAUUAUGUGGUGUGUAUGCCAAUACUGACUACAGAGUUAGGAGAGUUCUCUGGAAUGAGAUCACCAACCUGAUUUCCUAGGGCAUUCCGACAGUGGUGGUGGGUGACUUCAAUUGUAUCCAGGGGCUCAGUGAGAAACAGAGAGGCAGGGCUUACACCGACUCAGUGGACAGGAGGGAGUUUCGGAAUUUCUUGUCGAAGAAUGAACUGGUGGACCUCAGAUUCUCUGGGUCGAGAUUCACUUGGUGCAACAACCAGUCCAGCCGAUAGAUAGGGUCGUGCAUCUCCAUGCUGGGUUCUCUGCUUCCCUACCUACCAAGUCAGUAACUUACCUCGGAUAGCUUCGAAUCAUUGUCUUCUUUUGAUUUCUACAGAAUCUUGCUCCAGUCACGACAUCUCAUUCCGCUUUGAGAAAGUGCGGCUGUCAUAUCUCCAGUCUUAGAACAUUGUUCGGGAGGCUUGAGAGGUGCUAGUGCGGGGUGAUGCUAUGCAGAGGGUUUCGCGUAGGCUGGGGCUCACUAAGCGAUGACUCUGUUGGUGGAACCGAGAGGUAGUUCUUCAGGAGAUUGGAGGAGGCUGAGAUUUCGAUUGCUGAUCUUCAGGGGAGAGAGGAUAUGGGUGGAGAGCUCUGGGAGGCCGACAUGGUAGUCAUACAACAGCAACUUGCUACACAUCACUCCCUCUUGCAGCAGCAGGAGCUCUUCUAGAGACAGAAAUCUAGAAUUCUGGGUCAAGGAGAAGGACUGGAACACCAGAUUCUUCCACCAGACGAUUAUUAUCAAAAGGCAGAGAAAUACGAUCCACUCUAUGGAGUCAAGUCAUGGCGGCUAGAUACGGCAAAGUGCGGACUAAUGGGGCGGCCCCGAGUAGAGGAGAAGACACUACAUGUGGCGGGAGAUUUGCAAGUACAUGCCUACUGCCUUGGUGAAUACCAAAUGGCUGAUCGGCGAUGGGCAGAGCAUGGAUGUUGUGGACGACCCAUGGGUAGUCUCUCUUCCUUUGAGACUGUCGCGACCAUGGUCAACGUCGAGGCUACGGAUGGACUCUAGUUUUGCGAUCUUCUUAACUCAGAGGGGGUGGAGUGGAAUGUCGGCAGGAUCUAUCGGUUAUUUGGAGAGCACCUUGUAGAGCGUGUUUGAUUGCUCCCGAUUUCGAGGUGUGCUGAUGUGAGGGUUUGGAGCACGUCCUGUAGAGCCAGUGUCAGGUGGGAGAUGUCUUCCGCAUCCUCCAGCAAGAGCACAAGCCUUGGAUGGAUUAUGCUUAGAUCUGGAGCAUCCGACUUCAUCCGAAGGUAGCAUUAUUUCUAUAGAAGGUGGCUUAGGAGCGCCUGUCGACGAGAUUGGGGCUAAGCAAAAGGGGACUGGGCAUUCAUCCCCAGUGUCCGAAUUGCUGAGUGGACGAGACGGUGGAUCAUGUUCUGCUCUAGUGUGUGUGGGCUAGGGGGUCAGAGGCUCGUCGAGAUCCCACACGAUGCCUAGAGUCGGAUGGGGUCUUUCCUACAGGCAGUUUAUUGGUGGUCCAACGGCUCCGAGAUGCGUCGGGUGGCUGUUGCAGCGAUCUACACAGCUUACUAGAUCUAGUUGGUAAGGAAUGCUCAGACUUUUGGUGAGAAUAGUUCGUCCUCAAGGUUCCACGUGGAGCGCGCUCGGGUACAAGUAGCAGAGAUCAUUAAUGCAAGCUUAGCUUAUGGGUCUUUGAUAGCUCAGGACAGUUGGAGCCCUCAUUUUGCUCAAGUAGAGCCUUGUAUGGUGUUCUUCACUUGGGAGCGCCCACCUCCAAGCUUCCUUAAGGUCAACUUCGAUGGAUCCAUGCGAGACGGUGGCAGAAGAGGAGGUGAUGGGUUUGUCAUUAGGGGCUCGAACUCUAGGAUAGUGGCUGCCAAAUCUUCGAUACCUCAGUCAUUGGAGCAAAGCUGCGGCUGAAUUGGGCUAGCUUGUGCCGUGCUCGGCGUGUGCUAUAGGCCAGCUCGAUUACAUUACAGGAUGACUCGGGCAUCGUGAUCAGUUGGAUCCAAGGUGGCCCGAGUGGUGGUAGAGGGAGACACCCUCUUCUUCGAGAUAUUUAGACUUUGGUGAGUGACGUUGUGGCCUUUCAGGUUAGGCAUGUGUUUAAAAAGGUUAAUGAGGCUGCGGACUGGGUGACUUCUUAUGUGACUUGUCACUCCGGGGGUAUCCUGUGGGCUGGAAAGGGGGAGUUGCUCAGAGUACUCCAAGAUUUAUUAUUUUUUGAUUUUAUUGGGUAUAUCCAUACUCGAACGGUAUGAACGCCGCUUUAGCGACAAAAAAAAAAAAAGAAAAUACAACGUUGUUGCUGGGUCCUUUUGUGUGGGGUCCAGGUGCUUAUCCUUGUGGUCGGAUGUAAACUUAGCGGGAAAAAGGUUUGGAUGCGAGUGAAUGCCUUUUUAGAUACAUAACCUUGUUAUCUUCAGAUGGUAUGUUAUAUAAGAAUGUGCUAGUGGUGUCGUUAGCAAGAGUUAUUAUAAGCCAUCAGUGUAAGCUAGUGUUGAGCUUAAUGGGCCUGGAUACUUAAAAUUUAAUUAACGGUUCUCUGUGAUUUGCAUUUUAAUUGCAUAAUUGUUUCUGUUGCUAGUCGAUCCAAAGACAAGAAUCAUCCGUGGUACUCACAUACCUCGCAAAGGAAAUUAGGAUUUGUUUCAUUAGCUUUAGCAAAAACCCAGAACGAAACAUAUGGGCCGGGUCAGGAUUAGAUUGGGUCAAGCAAGCCCAAAUUAGUCUGGUGUGUGCAGUACAAAGUGCGCUGCAUUUGGAGCCUACCCAGUUUGAUUAGGUUGAUUAAGAUAAAUAAAGUAGUUUUGAAUGUCUUUAUUUGUAUUUAGACAGCCAAACUAAUCAACCUAUUUAGGUUGGUUACAAGUCCAAUUAGUUAGCGGUCUUUAUAGUCCAUACCACGUUCACUGUGCCAAAAAGAAUGAUAUAUAUGUAUAUAUAUAAAAUCAUGUCCAUAAGGAGAAAGUAAAAGGCUGAGGGACUUGCCCGAACGGCCAUACUUUUUUCAAUUUCUUUUCUGAAUUGGAUGACAUUGCGAAAAGGUUCACAAAUGCAGCAAACACACUAAACCAGGUUGGUUUAUUUAUUUAAUUGUCUAUUUUAGAAAACCAUGCAGAGACACUCAGUAGAAAAGGAAAGCAUGGAAGCAACCAUGGCAACCUCACAUACGCUCACUCGAAACGCAAGCUCUUGAUUAUUAUAGUUCUCACACCAGCAGGUAUACGAACUCAAACCCGAACCACUUCAAGCAUAGGCACCAGGGUUGGCCAGGAGGUAGGCCUCUGCAGCCUUGAUAGUCCCCCCGAUCACUGCUUCCUUUCCCUUGGCAAUCUCAUCCUUGUUGUCAACUCCUGGUAAUGGCUUAUAGGUUGUCACCACCUUGCACACGCACCCUCCCUUGCUGGAUUUCUCGAACUUGAAAUGGGUUGAGGCCGACUCGAUCUUCUUCCCGAGAUCGCCGCCUUCGACAAGGCUGUGCUUGCACUCAAGCUUGUUGAAGUCCACAAAGUCCAGGCGCUCCUUUACAUAGCCAAAUGGCAUGGCUACAAAUAUUAGAACCACAAGGUUAGCACAAACUCUAAGUACAUGAAAAUUAUAUAUAUAUAUAAAGGUUUGUUUGGGUAAUUGGGCUGAAAAAAUUAUAUUAAAUUUGUGAAUUGAGCCUGUACAACUAACUGGUCUAGACCUAUAUUCAUAAGUACUUACAAAUAGCUUUGGAGUGGGCCGGCUAGAUUUUCAAAUUAAGACAAAAAGAUCUUAGCCUAUAAACUUGUGAAUAUCGGCUUAGUUCGGCCUAUAAUCCUAUGAUUUUGAUGGCUGUACUGGCUCAAUCUAUGAAUCCAAAAGGAUUUUUAGCCCAAUCAUCGAAAUAGAAUCUAAACUAGAAAAUUUCAAAGUAUGGGUCAUAAUACCUGAGGUAAAGUUGAUCUGUCGGACACUCCCGAUGCUACCAUCACCAUGGACACCGGCGGCGCUUGCGACGAUGUCAGGCAGGAGCUUAGCGGCCAAGUUGUGCCAGUCAAGGACCGCCUUGAACAACCUUGGAGCGGGCGCUUGGGACUCGACCUCGAGGUUCCAACACGGGGGACUCAUGGUUAAAUUGGAUUCUUUAUUGGGCUUCACUUCUUAUGCUAAGUUGUGGUGAGUGAAAUCCAGAUGGAGAAUGGCGAGCAAAGGUUGGGGGUUUUAUAGAGGGUUUGUGUGGAAUGGUAGGUAUGGAACGGAGAAGCAUGCGUGCUGGUUUAUUCAUAUUUGGGCAGCGCCGUUGCUGAAACUGCUGACUAAUAAAAAUAGAGGAGGAAAGAGUGCAGGGGAGAGAGGCGGGCAGGUGGCUCACAUCAAGGUGAGACCUCGGGGAACCGUUUUUUUACAUUCUGACGGAUCCCAGCUAAAACAGAUCGCUAUAACCGUUGAUACAUGCCCUGCUUCGCAGUUUAUGAUUUCAAUUUUUAAUAUUAAAAUAAUAUAUGAAAAACUAACCCUUUUAGUGUUCGUCCAAUAAAAGUAACAUUUUUCAGGUGAGACAAACUUAAUUAUUUGGAGAUUAUUUAGAUUAUAAUAAACUGUUUUAUUGCCCAAUAACCCACCCAUUAUCUUUUUCUGCAUUAUAUUGUUAUAGUCACAGAGUAAAGUAAGAGCGGUGAUUACCAUCCGCUGCUGAGAGAUGUUUCCGGAUCGUAAUUUGUGGUGGGAUGGUACUCUAAACUAAGUACGUAUUUAGAGAGGUCAAUGAUGUUGCAGAUUGGGUGACCUUUUUUUGUUGCCGACCACUCGAAAGACCACCUUUGGGUAGAAAAGGCAGCGUUGCCCAGUGCACUCCAUGAUGUACUAUUUUUUGGUUUACUUGGUUGUAUCUGUACACGUUAUAUGUGAUAUUCCGACUUUUAGCAAAAAAAAAAACAAAAAGCAUUAUAAAUUUAUAGUAAUCAUUCUUCUUUAUAUAUAUAUAUAUAAUAAUAAUAAUAAUAAUAAUAAUAAUAACAACCAAUAAUGCGGGCCAUGGUCAUAGUGGGCACACCAUGUUUGUAAUAAAGAUCAACAUGUUGGCCUAUUUAUUAAAUAAAUUGAGUUCAAGUUUAAAUCUUUGACCUAUUUAAUUUAUUUCGAUUCAUUUAAUUAUUAGAUAAGAUCAUCUGACCCAUUUAAUCCGUUAAAGAUCUACUUAAUCUAUUUAAUCCGACUCUCUUAACUUGUUUCUGUUUAGUUUAACUCGAUAUACUUAACCUAUUUAAAUUCAAUUAAUUUAUUAAAAAUUUAUUUAACUUGUCUUAACUUGUUUAAUAAGCGUGUUAUAUGGAUAAGGUCGAGUUACCUAUUUAAUAAAUAGAGCGGGAUUGAAUUGGUAAAUUUUUAACUCAACUCGUAUCUGAUUUGAUUCAUAUCCGCCACGAUCUGAUCCAAUUGUCACUCUUAUUUUGCUCAAAUAAAAAAUUUACCUAUAAAAACAAAUCUAAGGUACAUUUUGUUUUUGGUUAUUUUUUAGAAACUUUGUCUAACUUAAACAUCGAAGGCCUCCUCGUCCGAAUCAGCUUUGGCAACCUUCCGGUUAGUUUUUUUUUUUUGUUGCUAAAAACAAGUAUAUCAUACAAUGCGGGUACGGAUACACCCAUUAGAGUCGGCAAACAGCAAAUCACACAAUGCCCUAGGUAAGUUCCCCUCCUCAUCCAUAGGGUGUCUCUUGAAUGGUUCGCCACAGACGCUGCCACCCAGUCCGCUGCCCCGUUGGCCUCUCGGUACACGUGCUUGGCUUGAAAGACCACUCCAUCACUCACUAUUUUUCAGAUAUUUCGAAGCAAGGGGUGUAACCGUUCACCUCCGCCCGGGCCCUGUUGGGCCCAACCAAUAAUGAUGAUGAGUCACCCUCCAGUAUGAUUGAGGUAGCUUGGAGCGCUCGCCUAGCAUGACACAGUCCAGUCCAGGCCGCCCGCAACUCUGCUCCCGAAACCGAGAUGUCGAAGAUCUGGCAGCCACCACCCUGGAGCUCGGGCCUCUGAUGACAAAAUCAGCUCCUCCCCUCCUGUCGCCAUUUAGAACGGAAUCGUCAAAAAUUAACCUUGAGAAAACUCGGAGGUGGUGGCUCUCAUGUGAAAUACACCAUACAGAGCGUUGCUUGAGCAAUAUGGGGGCCUUAGAUGUCCUGAGCUAUCCAAGGCACAUGAUCCAAGCCUACUUGAGUGAUUUCAGCUGUCUGUUUUCUGGCACGCUCUAUCACAAACUGUGGGGAUAAAUUAUGUUCGUCAAAAAUUCGAACGUUCUUCAUCAGCCAAAUCUGAUAAGCUCACCGCUACGGUCUCACAUCGCAUAUGAAGGGUACUGGACCACCGCCGCAUAGUCUGGAAGAAGAAAUCCUCUUGGCACCGUGCCUCCUGCGGCACCCCAGCAAGUCGCCAGGCUCCAACGACCUUCAAUGUAUGGUUUUGACGGCAACAGCUUUGAUUAAUUAUUAUUGUACGAGAAAACUUUGUCAUCGUCAAAGAAAUUUGCAAGAAGGGGACUCGAUCAGCUCUGUAGGCAGUACAUGUCACAGCAAAUCCAGUGUAUAAACUUUAACACGUGUUUGUAUCCGACAUGAAAUUUAGUGUUCUUUUUUUUUCUGCUUAAAACGGGUUCUUCAGACAACGCGUGUCCGAAUACAUCCAAGAACAUCAAAAUACAAAAUCUCACGUAGUGCCAAUGGCAGCUCUCACUCUCCUGCCCACAGGGCGUAUCCCGAGUGGUGUGCUGCAUAUGCAGCUAUCCAGUCAGCCGCCCCGUUGGCCUCCCUAAAUACAUGCUUAGCCUCAAAGGCCGCACCAUCCUUCACCAUCAUCCUAAUAUCCCGAAUCAAAGGAUGGCCAGUGCUCUCACGCCGAAUCCACCCAAUGACAGUGGAUGAGUCGCCCUCCAAGAUGAUCGAGCUAGCCCGCAGUACCUGCCGCGCAUGGCGAAGGCCGGCCCAGGCAGCUCGCAACUCCGCCUCUGCCCUCUGGAACUGAUAUGUCGAAGAGCCGGCAACCGCCCGCUGCCACUACCCUAGAGUGAGGGUUUCGUAUGACGAAGCCUGCGCCGCCUCGUGUACCACUAUCUAGUACUGAACCAUCAAAGUUAACCUUGAAGAAACUCGGGGGUGGGGGCUCCCAGGUGAAGAACACCGUCCGAAGAGCUGCCUGAGUAGAGAAAGAACUCCAGGUGUCCCGAGCUAUCAAGGCCGUAUCUGAAGGGCUGGUAGGUCUGGAAUCCAUCGCCAGUACUCGAGCAGACUCCGCAACAAACCUCGGCGACAUUCUACGCUCACCGAAGGUGCGAGCGUUCCUUGCCAGCCAGAUCUGAUGGGCAGUGCAAGUUGCUUGGAUGGACUCCUGACAUGUCCGAGGACUGGCCAGCCACUAUCAUAUCAUAUGUAGAAAAAGUCUCCUCUCCCGCCACACCUUCUCUGGGAUACCCGUCCACUGCCAUGUCAACCUCGCCCAAGUACAUCCAAAUAGUACAUGGUCCACUGACUCGUCUGCACCGCAAGCCCCACACUCCGCAGGGAUCCCCAAACCACGUCGGCUCAGCACUGCUCUCGUCGGGAGACGGUUCCACAUCACCUUCCAUAAAAGAGUGCUGCUCUCGGGUGGAGCCUGGACCUCCAAAUCCAAGCACAGUCCCAUCCACUCUCAUGCUCUCACUGAAUCACCCGGGCCAGGUCACCCAGCCUAACACUGGCCCUGCAUGAAGUGCUCCAAACCCUGACAUCUGGGCCCUCGCAUCCUGGUACUAGAAGAGAAAGGAUCCUCUUGGCUAGAUGUGCCCCGAACAACUGAUGUAGUCUGUCCUCGUCCCACUCUGCCCUCCCUGGUGCUAGGAGGUCGCACAUCCGGACCCCACUGCUGCCUCAAAAUCCACCGUCGUCGGCCAAUAUCUCAAAGGAAUGGUAUCCACUCAUGGAUCAUCAGUCACAACAAUGGUCCGGCCAUCGCCCAUCAGCCACCUGGUAUUAGCUAACACGGUCGGCAGGUACCUCCCAAUCUCGCGCCACAUGAAAGAGAUACGGCGACCACACCGUGCCACCUCAGGGCUCCCUCUUUUUUUUUGGUACAUGAAAAUUUAGUUUGGGUACGUGGCAAGAGCUCGAGCUGGGGAUCCUGGCCUGCAAGAUGAUGCGUUUAGCGCCGCCCGCACCGCCCCACCGCGCUAUUCCCAACUUAUUCCCCGCCAAUAACUACUUAUUCUCCGGUUGGGCAGUAAAGGUCGGAGAAGGGUAAGACCAAAGAGUCGGGCCGAAAAUUUUUCUAAACUGCCAAAAAGGUUCAAAGCUGAAGGCGGAGAUUUUGUCGGAAUGACGUGUCCCGCAGGACCAAAACGCACGGCUCUUACGGUGGUAGCGUCACAGAAUGGAGACCUAGCCAUCUAGAAAUCUUAUCUCCCUCUUAUUUCUUACUAAGAAACGUCCUCUCUUUCAUCUGGUAAAGAAGAUGAUUUACUGGCUCGUAUGGUCGGCAAGGAAAAGAAUUGCAUGUUUCUUUCUAUUUAAAUAGCAGUGGUAGGACUCAUAUUGGGACAAGGCAACCAAGCGUCGUGGUUCUAUCUUGACUAAUAAGAAAAAAUGUCCCAUAGAUUUAUUAGCCCUGCCAAUUCUUCUUUCAACAACUUAUUUUUAGACUUUGAGUAUGUGACAAAUAAUAUCAGAACCAUACCUAUUGUGCGUCACAAACUUCAAUAGUCAUAUGGGCUCUUUAUUGAAAUAGACUAAAGUCGAGUAAGACUUGGGCUAUGGAUGGACCCCGUCUCUAGAGUAGGCUUCAACUAUGAUGAGGGCAUCACAAAAUUGAAUGGAGGAGGUUGUCAUAAUUCUAUAUUGACCGAUAAAAGAGGUACCAUAUGGGUUAAUCAAUCUAGACCAAUCCACCACCCAAUAGCUUAAGCUUUUGGUUUGUGAGCGUGUGACACAAGGCCCACUCUAAUAUGAAGUCCUAAGCCCAUUUAGCACAACCUGACAUGGCUGAUAUAAGAUGAUGGGAUGCAAUGCAUGUAGCGUCUGAGAAUCUACAGAUUCUGUCCCAACAAAUGCAUGUUGAAAAUUUAAAUUCCAUGAAUGUAAUUACGAAAUUUCAUGUGAUUUUUUAGCUAUUUUAACAAAAUUGAGUGAAAAAAUAAAUAGCAAUCUACGGUUUGCUUUUACUAUGUCCUAAGUUGGAAUCAGAGCUUACUUGGUCUGGGUCAGGUCGGAGUUAUGGCACUGUGGAUUGAGCGCAGCCUGGGUCAUGCCGGAUUAGACAGAUGGUGCAUCAAGUUUGGCCUACUCUUUAAUGGCGUUGGUCAAACCCACAACUACCUUUAGCUAAUUCACCCCAGCUAGAAAGGCUAAUAUAGCUGCUUUGGCUUGUAAUAUAGGGAUUAUAAACAAACUCAUCAGGAUAUGUCAAGAGUUUUUCCCUAUGGUUUCUGUAAUGAGAGAUCUUCAUUAAGGAGUUUAUACUAGAGAAGAAUGAUGUUUGGAGGACUAUAUCAGCCUAGUUGGCUCAACCAAGAAAAAUAUUUUCUACCCUUGAAUUAAUGGCACAAGUUCUUAAAUAAGUGUGAACUGAAAAUUUUAAAUUUGGGGUGUUACUGUCAGGUCAGGUUUAAUUGUGUCAAUGUCCAAUAUGAUAGUCAGUUGGCUUUUGAUAUGAACAAGACGCAAUCCUUUGAUUUGGAGCUGACCCCCAUGACCCUUCUGAUUCCCAAUCCAUGUAAAUUUUGGGACACAUUUUAUGUUGUUUAUUGCACAUGCCUCACAACUUUCGAGCUAUUUAUUACCCAUUUAUUUGACUACUUUGAAAGGUUGCGUAGGCUUUCAUCUAGAGAUCACGAAUUUUUUUCUUUUUUUUUUUUUGUCCUACAUCGGGACUACUCAUAAAAUUCUAGUAUGAAUAUAUUUUAAAAAAAAUCAGAAGAAUACAACAAGUUACGAAGUAUCCGAGACAUCCCCUUCAUCAAUCUAAAAAUUCUCCAAAGUGAUUUGUUACAAAGAAAAUCACUCAGUCUGCAGCUCCAUUGGCCUUAUUACAGACGUGUUUUGUUCUGAAGGUAUUGCCAUCGGCACACAUACACACUCACACAUAUAAUAAAAAAAUAAAAAAUAAUUAAAAAAAGGAAAAAAGAAAGAAAGCCCGAGAGGACACAAUCCAAUUGUAGGCUUAAUGUUUGUUAUUGCUGAUGUAUCAAAGAUUGCAACAUUUGGCCUCAACCAAUCUGACUUGUUAGCUGGACGAGGAGGUGUAACCAAAACCCAACCUGCAAGCUCAAUGGGUCAGAUUAGAUUAUUUACGGUUCAAGUUAGGCUGGGUUGGAUAUGUCCGUAUGUUGGUUUUUGUACAUUGGUUGAGAUCUCGAAUAACCCAUCUGUUAUCUUUUUCUACGUUUUAUUGCUAUAAUAACAGAGUAAAGUAGGGGCCAAAAAGUAUUAUAAAUUUAUAAUAACCAUUCUUCUUUUUUUUUAUAAUAACUAAUAUGUGGGCCAUGGUCAUAAUGGGCUCGGGGCAACCCAUGUUUAUAAUAAGGAUGAACCGUUAUCUAUUAAGUGAAUUAAGUUCAAGUUUAAAUCUUUGACUUAUUUAAUUUAUUUUGAUUUAUUUAAUAAUUAAGAUCUAACUCAUGUAAUCAGUUUAAGACAUGCUUAAUCUAUUUAACUCGAUCUACUUGACUUGUUUCUAUCCUAUCUUAACUUAUCUAAAUUCAAUUAAUCUAUUAAAAAUUUAUUUAGCUUGACAUGGCUUGUUUAAUAAAUGGAUUAUAUAAAUCAAGCCAGGUUACUUGUUUAAUAAAUAGCUUAGAUUCAAAUUAAUGAAUUUUUGACUUAAUUCGUAUUCGAUGUGAUCCAUAUCCGAUCUUAUCUGUUUCAAUUGUGACCGGUACCACUUAGAUAAGAACUUUUUAUCUAUUAAAAACCUAAUUUUUUUUUAAGUCUCUUUUUUUUUUCUCCUGCUAUUUCUUAGGGCUCUGUUUUAGUUAAACAUCGAUCGCCCUCGCUCGGAUCAGCUUUGGCAACCUUCAAGCUCUUUUUUUCCUUUUCUGUGCAAGAUGAGGGUCACAAAUUGGAUCUUCUUCCUUACAUGCACAUCCGCCAACGACCUUCAAGUAUCAGAUUGGGUUUUGAUGGCAACAGCUUGGAAUAAUUAUUGUUGUACAAGAAAACUUUGUCAUCGUCAAAGAAAUUUGCAAUGAGGGGACUCGAUCAGCUCUGCGGGCAGUACAUGUCACAGCAAAUUUGUAUCUAACAUGAAAGUUUAGUGGGUUUUUUUUUUGGUACAUGAAAUUUUAGUUUGGAUACGUGGCCAGAGCUCUAGCCGGGUAUUUCGGCCCGCAAAACAUAGAGGUUUAUUUUUUUUAAUAAAAAUGGUAUUUUAUAUAGCUCUAACAUGAGUACGUCCUGAAAAUGUCUCUCGUGGAUGUUUAGAUGAUCUCUCCGAAGUGCCGGACAACAAAGGAGGCGAUUCAGUUUGCAUCACUGUUCGCUUCCCAGAACACAUGUAAUGCCUGAAAAGAGCUCAGUUCCUGGACCAGUCUACGAGUAUUACAAAUAAAAGAGUAACCAUCACCAUAUAUGUUCACUCCCCACACCCAAUCAAUUACCACUGAACAGUCUCCCUCAAGGUAUAUGCACUUAGCACCAAGUACCCGCCAUGUAAAGGAGAUAUCCUUUCAAGCUGUCCGUAGCUCCGCUCCAAUUAUAGUAAGACUGUGUGUACAGUGACCACCCGAUGCUAUCACCCUGCUGAGGUGAGGGAAAGACUGAAGAGCGGAUCUUGGUCCCAUGCAGGCUAUGGUAGUUCCGUGCUUGAGAUGCCGAAAAUAGCCCUGAGAGGGAUAUAGUGGGAAGGAAAUUAAGAUUUCGCCGCUGAUAUGUUUUUGUUUGUUUUUUUUUUUUUGCUUUAAAAAGAGAGCAUAGUUGGUGGAUAAAAUUAGAAGAAGCCGGAUAGCUUGGAGAUGGCGGGACAAGGUGCUUAUCCUUGUGGUCAGAUGGAAACUUAGCGGGAAAACGAUUCGGAUGCAAGUCAAUGCCUUUUUAGCUGGCUAUCUUGAGAUAAUAUGUUGUAAAAGAAAGUGUUAGUGGUGUCGUUAGCAAGAAUAUUAGAAGCCCUCAGGGUAGGCUAGUGGUGAGUUUAAUGGCCCUGCUUACUUCAAAUUUAAUUAAUGGUUGUUUGUGAUUUGCAUUUUAAUUGCAUAAUUAUUUCUGUUUAUGCUAGUCGAACCAAAGACAAGAAUAAUCCGUGGUACUCACGCCUCGGAAAGGAAAUUAGGUUGCGGACUGACUUGCAAUUUUUAUUGUUCCAUUGGCUUUAGCAAAAAACCAGAGCGAAAACAUAUGGGCCGGGUCAGGGUUAGAUUGGGUCAACCAAGCCCAGCUUAGUCUGGUGUGUGAAGUACAAAGUGCGCUGCGUUUAGAGCCUACCCAGUUUGAUUAGGUUGAUUAAGAUAAAUAAAGUAGUUGUGGAUGUGUUUAUUUGUAUUUAGACAGCCAAAUAAAGAAGUUUUGGAUGUGUUUGUUUGUAUUUAGAGAGCCAAACUAAUCAACCUAUUUAGGCUGGUUACAAGUCCAAUUAGUUAGCCGUCUUUAUAGUCCAUACCACGUUCAGUGUACCAAAAAGAAUGAUAUAUAUAUAAUCAAGUCCACAAGGACAAAGUAAAUGGCUGAGGCACUUGACCGGACGGCCAUACUUUUUUCAAUUUCUUUUAUCUGAAUUGGAUGACAUCGUGAAAAGGUUCACAAAUGCAGCAAACACACUAAACCAGGUUGGUUUAUUUAUUUAAUUGUCUAUUUUAGAAAACCAUGCAGAGACACUCAGUAGAAAAGGGAAGCAUUGAAGCAACCAUUGCAACCUCACAAACACUCACUCCAAACGCAAGCUCUUGAUUAUUAUAGUUCUCACACCAGCAGGUAUACGAACUCAAACCCGAACUAACCACUUCAAGCAUAGGCACCAGGGUUGGCCAGGAGGUAGGCCUCUGCAGCCUUGAUAAUCCCGAUCACUGCUUCCUUUCCCUUGGCUAUCUCAUCCUUGUUGUCAACUCCUGGUAAUGGCUUAUAGGUUGUCACC
rnacentral:lncRNA from 1 species